AACACAUUGUCGCAUCUUCUUUGUUUUAACGAAGAAGAACGUGUGUGCAAAGACGUGGAGACGUGGAGACGUGGAGACGUGGAGCGGAGGAGAAAGAUAGGAAAGGCACACAUCCAUUGACCUUGUAGAUUGGUAAGAUGAGUAUAAAAUGAUUUCUUUGGCUGCGGUGACUGGUCGAGUAAAGAAGUGCUUAUGGAAAUGCGGGUGAGUUGAAUGGCAGUCUGGCAGUCAGGCAGUCAGGCAGUCAGGCAGUCAGGCAGUCAGGCAGGCAAGCAGGCAGACAGUUGGCAGCAGAUAAAUCGACCGACCGACCAACAGACCGAACGACCAUAUUCACUGCCGUGCCAAAAAUUGCCUCUUCUGCUCUUUGGCUCUUCCCUUUAAACAAUGCGCCGCAACGUGCCAGACUGAUUGAUUAAACGCCAAACACCAAUUCUUUAUCCCAUCCCUUGGCCGUGGAUGACCGGAGUCUUCUUCAACCUCUGCAGCCAAAGCACGUGCUGACACAUCAACAUCACUCCAGUGCCGUUGCGGUUACAGUGUCGUUGAUUUGUGCUCCUUUAGUGUUUCAUUCAUGCAUUCAUGUACUUGACAAUGCUAUUGUAUAUAUAUACAUCGUCGAUCGUCGAUGGUGCACAAUUGUAGAUCAAUCUUAUCAAUAAUAAUUAGUGUUGUUUGUU